rnacentral:rRNA from 1 species
UGGGGAAUAUUGGACAAUGGGCGCAAGCCUGAUCCAGCCAUGCCGCGUGAGUGAUGAAGGCCUUAGGGUUGUAAAGCUCUUUCGCCGGUGAAGAUAAUGACGGUAACCGGAGAAGAAGCCCCGGCUAACUUCGUGCCAGCAGCCGCGGUAAUACGAAGGGGGCUAGCGUUGCUCGGAAUCACUGGGCGUAAAGCGCACGUAGGCGGAUCGUUAAGUCAGGGGUGAAAUCCUGGAGCUCAACUCCAGAACUGCCCUUGAUACUGGCGAUCUCGAGUUCGAGAGAGGUUGGUGGAACUCCGAGUGUAGAGGUGAAAUUCGUAGAUAUUCGGAAGAACACCAGUGGCGAAGGCGGCCAACUGGCUCGAUACUGACGCUGAGGUGCGAAAGCGUGGGGAGCAAAACAGGAUUAGAUACCCUGGUAGUCCACGCCGUAAACGAUGGAUGCUAGCCGUUGGGGGUUUGA